rnacentral:rRNA from 1 species
AACGAACGCUGGCGGCAGGCCUAACACAUGCAAGUCGAACGGUUCCUUCGGGAAUAGUGGCGCACGGGUGCGUAACGCGUGGGAAUAUACCCUUUACUGCGGAAUAAUGUCUGGAAACGGACACUAAUACCGCAUAAUGACUCCGGUCCAAAGAUUUAUCGGUAAAGGAUUAGCCCGCGUCUGAUUAGUUUGUUGGUGAGGUAACGGCUCACCAAGACGAUGAUCAGUAGGGGGUCUGAGAGGAUGAUCCCCCACACUGGUACUGAGACACGGACCAGACUCCUACGGGAGGCAGCAGUGAGGAAUAUUGGACAAUGGAGGCAACUCUGAUCCAGCCAUGCCGCGUGAGUGAAGAAGGCCUUAGGGUUGUAAAGCUCUUUCAAUUGUGAAGAUAAUGACGGUAACAAUAGAAGAAGCCCCGGCUAAAUUCG